AACGAACGCUGGCGGCAGGCUUAACACAUGCAAGUCGAACGCAUCCUUCGGGGUGAGUGGCAGACGGGUGAGUAACGCGUGGGAACGUGCCCUUCAGUUCGGGAUAACCCAGGGAAACUUGGGCUAAUACCGGAUACGUGCGAGAGCAGAAAGAUUUAUCGCUGAAGGAUCGGCCCGCGUCUGAUUAGCUAGUUGGUGGGGUAAUGGCCCACCAAGGCGACGAUCAGUAGCUGGUCUGAGAGGAUGAUCAGCCACAUUGGGACUGAGACACGGCCCAACCUCCUGCGGGAGGCAGCGGUGUGGAAUAUUGGACAAUGGGCGCAAGCCUGAUCCAGCCAUGCCGCGUGAGUGAUGAAGGCCUUAGGGUUGUAAAGCUCUUUCGUCCGGGACGAUAAUGACGGUACCGGAAGAAGAAGCCCCGGCUAACUUCGUGCCAGCAGCCGCGGUAA
rnacentral:rRNA from 1 species